UACAGAGACUGCAAGCGUUAUUCGGAUUCAUCGGGCGUAAAGGGUGUGUAGGUGGCGCCGUAAGUCGGGUGUGAAAUUUCGAGGCUUAACCUCGAAACUGCAUUCGAUACUGCGGUGCUUGAGGACUGGAGAGGAGACUGGAAUUCAUGGUGUAGCAGUGAAAUGCGUAGAUAUCAUGAGGAACACCAGUGGCGAAGGCGGCUACCUGGACCGGUUCUGACGCUGAGGCGCGAAAGCGUGGGUAGCAAACAGG
rnacentral:rRNA from 1 species